ensembl:lncRNA
ACUUCUUAUAUCUCAUUGCUAUAAGAAUUUAAUUUUUUUUGAAGAAACUUCAUGUUUAGUGGAACCUGAAUGUAAGAUCUCCUUUAAUUUCACAUUCUAUUCUCCCCAUUUACUCUUCUUUUCUUGUUAGCUCUCUAAUUUAAAAACACCUCAGACUUUUUUCUUUAAUCCAAGAAGGAAACUGAAUUUUCAUACUACAAGCUUCCCAGUAUCAUCUUCUCUUUGUGGACACUUAACUCAGCCAUGGAUCAAAUAACCAUAAACACUAUAAAUCCCCACCCAAACAUCUUCUCCAACCCAGAAAUGAAAAUCCGAGUGAACUUUUCCUUCUUCUUUUUGUUCUGAAAUUUUAUCAGGGAUAAGAAUGGAUUGUUCUCUAUGUUCUGGAAGCAUGUAUUUGAACUUGUACCAGUUACUGUAGCCCUCCUCUUCAGUUUACUCAGCAUAUGGCUCCAAAACUAAAAAUACUAAAUCAGUCAUAUCUUCCAUGUCUGAAUUUGGCCUUAUUUGAUGACUUAAUUGAUUCCUUUCCAGCAUUCUGAUUUCUUGUGGCAAUAACCUAUACUACACAGGAAUUAAAACUUAAAGCAAGUCUAUUAAAAAUAUGUAUAAGGAUUGAGCAAGAAAAACACAUUCCAAAGUUUCAAAAUGCCAUUAAUUGACUUUCUAAAAUAAAGGUAACAUGAAAUUAGGGCUAAACAAUGUAAUCUAACUGCCAACUAAAGUAUACAGUAGUUCUGGUCUUAGUUAUAUAUGAUAUAGAGUUAUUUAAUGUUAAGCUGAUCCCAGUGGAUUUAGUAAAAAUGUAGGUAUUGAGUGUUAAUGGCUACCAAUGGGGGUAUACACUUAGCUUGCUGGCUGAACUUCAGUCUGUUUUUGUAUCCUAGGAUUUUGUGAACAAGCCAAAAUUUAAACAAAAGCCACCCUAAGUCUGUAAUUGCAGAGAAAUUUCCCUCUUGGUGAUAUUAGAACAGUCCAAGUCCACUCAAACUGAGUCCAGGAUUUGGAACUCACCCAGAAAAACAAAUGAAAGAGAAACAUUUAAUGGACCAAGUAUGCUUGGUAUUUCAUAGUUAAGACAGCUGGGCAGGGUAGGAAGAUAAGCUGUAGAACAAAGACAAGAUUGAGGUGGAAGAAAUUGGCGAGUCCCAGAAAAAGGCUUAGAGAUUUAUAACCUUGGAUUCUCCCUAUACUUAAAUUAUGGGUAAACUCUCUAGCAUGAUACCUAAUUCAGAGAGGUUCUUUCCAUUAAACUCACCUUGAGUAGUGGACUUGAGUCUUAAGAGGAUUGGGAGAUUCCUGAAAAUCUCCACACCUGAAAGACAGAGAGAGAGGAGGUUCUUGCUUUAAAUCAGCUCAAAGACAAUCGAUGAUUUCAGUGACUCUUCAAUAUAGUGAAGUCAGUAAUGGAGAGAUUACAUUAGCCCUGAGUUGUAUAAGCACCAUGAGAGGGGAGAAUGGGACAGGGAAUGAAUUUUAUCAGGAAUAUUUCAAACCGCAUGGUACACCGGAACUAACUUCGAGAGACAACAUUGAAAGGAGGUAAUGACAGGGUGUCCAAUCUAUAACCUCUGUCCUGUAGGACCCAGGCCAAGUCAUUCCCUCCUUGAUUUGCUCUUAGAGGAUAAGUAUUUAAGAUGGGAUCAAGAGGGAAAUUGGGUGCUCUGUCUCAGGCUGUUCAAAUGCUGCCACCUGCAUUGUAAGACAUGUGAGAGUCAAACCCUAGGAGACACAUCCUUAUGGGCUGAUGCACUGAUGUGCCACCCUGAGACUCCUGCAGCACUGGUGGUUGAAUGGCAGCCUUACUGUCCACCCAAGUAUCUGUGCACCACUUCUAAAGCCAGAGUUCAGCACUGCAUGUCAAUCAGGUGGAUAUCAUGUAAUAUAAAUGCUCGUUGGGAUCCAAAAGGAAAACCAUUACAAAUAAAAGAAAGAUGAACAAGUUUAAUGUUUUUUGGGGAGGGGGUCAAAGAAAAGAAUAAAUAAAACCUUGUUGUAAAGAAUUAAUCGGCC